GUCAACGGGGGCUCCGAUGAAGCGGUGAACAGUUCCUUAGAGGUAGCGUCGUCAGACGGGCCAGUCGCAGCUUCAGAGGUAGCGGCCAACAGUUCCUCAAAGGCAUGGUCAGACGGGGGGCCAGUCGCAGCUUCAGAGGUAGCGGCCAACAGU